rnacentral:rRNA from 1 species
AGAGUUUGAUCCUGGCUCAGGAUGAACGCUAGCGGCAGGCUUAACACAUGCAAGUCGAGGGGCAUCGGGAGGGAAGCUUGCUUUCCUUGCCGGCGACCGGCGCACGGGUGAGUAACACGUAUGCAACCUGCCCUCUUCAGGGGGACAACCUUCCGAAAGGGAGGCUAAUCCCGCGUAUAUCGGUUUCGGGCAUCCGAGAUCGAGGAAAGAUUCAUCGGAAGAGGAUGGGCAUGCGGCGCAUUAGCUUGACGGCGGGGUAACGGCCCACCGUGGCGACGAUGCGUAGGGGUUCUGAGAGGAAGGUCCCCCACACUGGUACUGAGACACGGACCAGACUCCUACGGGAGGCAGCAGUGAGGAAUAUUGGUCAAUGGGAGAGAUCCUGAACCAGCCAAGCCGCGUGAGGGAAGACGGCCCUAUGGGUUGUAAACCUCUUUUGUCGGAGAACAAAACCCGGGACGUGUCCCGGACUGCGUGUAUCCGAAGAAAAAGCAUCGGCUAACUCCGUG